rnacentral:tRNA from 1 species
GGAAUUGUAGCUCACUGGUAGAGCGCAUACCUGGCACAUGUGAGGCCCUGGGUUUGAUCCUCAGCACCA